UACAACAAAAGAUGGCAGGGACCA
rnacentral:piRNA from 1 species